GGCGCUCAACGUCAGGAAUUCCGGGGAGACUGCGGGUCUUGGGACCGGGAGAGGUCGGAGGUACUCCUGGGGUAGCGGUGAAAUGCUGUAAUCCUGGGGGGACCACCUGUGGCGAAAGCGUCCGACUUGAACGGCUCCGACGGUGAGGGACGAAGGCCAGGGGAGCAAACCGGAUUAGAUACCCGGGUAGUCCUGGCUGUAAACGCUGCCCGCUUGGUGUUGCCGGUCUUUCGGGGGCCGGCAGUGCCGGAGCGAAGGUGUUAAGCGGGCCGCUUGGGGAGUACGGCCGCAAGGCUGAAACUUAAAGGAAUUGGCGGGAGAGCACUGCAACGGGAGGAGCGUGCGGUUUAAUUGGAUUCAACGCCGGAAAACUCACCGGGGGCGACCGGCAUAUGUGGGUCAAGCUGACGACUUUGCCCGAAUAAGAGCCGGAGAGGUGGUGCAUGGCCAUCGUCAGCUCGUACCAUAGGGCGUUCACUUAAGUGUGAUAACGAGCGAGACCCCCAUUCCCAGUUGCCACCUGUCCCUCCGGGGGCAGAGC
rnacentral:rRNA from 1 species